UCCGGUUGAUCCUGCCAGAGGCUACUGCUAUCGGGGUUCGAUUAAGCCAUGCGGAGUUAAAUGUUCUUCGUGAACAUAGCGAACUGCUCAGUAACACGUGGAUAACCUACCCUUAGGACCGGAAUWACCCCGGGAAACUGGGGAUAAUACCGGAUAAGCCAUAGACGCUGGAAUGCCCUAUGGUUCAWAGCUCCCGGCGCCUAAGGAUGGAUCUGCGGUCUAUCAGGUUGUAGUGGGUGUAACGUACCUACUAGCCGACGACGGAUACGGGUUGUGAGAGCAAGAGCCCGGAGAUGGAUUCUGAGACACGAAUMCAGGCCCUACGGGGUGCAGCAGGCGCGAACACUUUACAAUGCGGGAAACCGCGAUAAGGGAACCCCGAGUGCCAGCAUCAAAUGUUGGCUGUCCAGAUGAUUAAAAAUCAUUUGUUAGCAAGGGCCGGGCAAGACCGGUGCCAGCCGCCGCGGUAACACCGGCGGCCCGAGUGGUAGCCGUUUUUAUUGGGUCUAAAGGGUCCGUAGCCGGCUUGAUAAGUCCUUUGGGAAAUCUGGCAGCUUAACUGUCAGGCUUCUAAGGGAUACUGUCAGGCUUGGGACCGGAAGAGGUAAGGGGUACUCCAGGGGUAGGAGUGAAAUCUUGUAAUCCCUGGGGGACCAUCUGUGGCGAAGGCGCCUUACCAGAACGGGUCCGACGGUGAGGGACGAAAGCUAGGGGAGCAAACCGGAUUAGAUACCCGGGUAGUCCUAGCUGUAAACGAUGCUCGCUAGGUGUCAGACACGGUGCGACCGUGUUUGGUGCCGCAGGGAAGCCGUUAAGCGAGCCACCUGGGAAGUACGGUCGCAAGGCUGAAACUUAAAGGAAUUGGCGGGGGAGCAC
rnacentral:rRNA from 1 species